rnacentral:rRNA from 1 species
UACGAAGGGGGCUAGCGUUGUUCGGAAUUACUGGGCGUAAAGCGCACGUAGGCGGACAUUUAAGUCAGGGGUGAAAUCCCGGAGCUCAACUCCGGAACUGCCUUUGAUACUGGGUGUCUUGAGUGUGGAAGAGGUGAGUGGAAUUCCGAGUGUAGAGGUGAAAUUCGUAGAUAUUCGGAGGAACACCAGUGGCGAAGGCGGCUCACUGGUCCAUUACUGACGCUGAGGCGCGAAAGCUAGGGGAGCAAACGGG